AGCGCACAUACACAUCGCGUAAGCAGAGUGAAGAAGUGCGGAGGAAGGAAUGGUGGGGACUACAAGCAUACGACAGAAAGAGUGAGAUGGACAGACGCAGAGAAGGGAGGAAGAAGGAUUAUUAAGGGUUGGAAGAGGGAAUUCCGUCUUUGGACACCUGUUACCAACAUCAGACUGAAUAAAGCUGUCUUUGCCUAAGAUCUAAAAGUUGACUUACAGGUUGGGUCUAGUGAUGUAUAGAAAAACGUAGCAGCGUCAUUUAAAACGGGACUGGAGACGUGAGAUCGUGGCUGUGUAGGAAGACAGAACACUU